ACACUGGAUUUUCUGCAUUUUUACCCCCAAUUUUUAAAACAUGGUGACUACAACGACGAUGGAUUGACAAGCUAGUUUGUUUCAGUCACUUCAUCCAUUUUUCAUCAGAUUUAGUCUUUUUUUUAAUGACAUGUGACUUAAACACAUAAAGAGUUCAGAUGGGACUUUGUUUAGAAAUAAUAAAAACAAAUCCCACAUCCUUUGAAAUCUGUUGAACCCCUCAAACAACAAACACCUUCACGUCUAGGAUCAGCGAUAAUAUUUAUGCCAUAAAACAUCAGUUGUUUUGAUAAAUCCACAUUUAAAGGUGCAUGAAGUAAGGAUGACAUACCUCAGGUUUACAACUUCUACAAAAUUCAGCAGCUCGUGUCCUGACGAAGACCAGGAGGCAGGAGCACAUUACACCUGCCUUAAACAAGCUGCAUUGGCUUCCUGUAUGUUUCAGGAUCGAUUUUUAAGGUUAUUUUAAUGGUUUUUAAAUGUCUUAAUGGUCUUGGGCCUUCUUAUCUCUCAGAACUGCUUCAUAGAUAUGAGCCUUCACGGUCCCUGCGCUCCUCUGGCAACCAUUUCCUCGUCAUUCCAAAAGUCAGGACACACUCCCAAGGCGAGGCAUCCUUCCAGUUUUAUGGCCCUCACCUCUGGAACAGUCUGCCAGAGGACCUCAGGGCCGUAGAGAGUGUUCUUGUUUUUAAGGCCAGGCUCAAGACUCACCAUUUUAGUAUAGUUUUUAGUUUAUUUUGAUCUAUUUUAGCCAGUUUUACCAUUUUUAUAUAUUUUAUCAGUGUUUUAUUACUUACUCUUUUACUUAAAUGACACAUAAUUUCUUAUAUAUUAAUUUUAACUUGUAAUAAUCAUUAGUUUUAACCAGUAUUAAUAAUCUGUUGUACAAUAUUUGUGUAUAUUUAAUUAAAUGUUUCUACUUGGUUAUCUUUUAUCACAGUUUUAUUUAGAUUUUUAUUUAUCAGCUGUUUAUGUUUAAUUUGAUCCUUAACUUGUCUUAAUCUCAUUAGUGAACUGGUGUUUCCUCUGUGGGGGCUGGCUGCCCAGGGGGCAGCGGUGGGCUGUGGCUGCCUGGUGCUUCCCGUGCCUCCUCUUGCCCGGGCUGCUGCUGCAGAUCCUGCUACUCCCGGUGCAGAUGGCUCCUUUGAUGGCGUUCCCGUCUUCUUUGUACCUAUUACACCUGCGCUCAGCAGCAGCCCUUUCUCUUGUGUGUGUGUGUGUGUGUGUGUGUGUGUGUGUGUGUGUGUGUGCUUGGGAUGGGAUGGGAUUGAGGGUGGGAGGAGGGAGAUACAAAGGGGAUCUAUGUGAAUCUGUGUGGGAGGGGUGGGAAACCGACUGCUGUCUGGUUGUUUUUAAUAUUGUAAAGCGCUUUGAGCUGCACUUGUAUUAAAAGCACUUCAUGAAUAAAUUUGAUUGAUUGACAUCUUGUGAUCCAAUUUGGGGACUGCAGUCCAUGUAUCAAAUCAAACAACUCUGCUCUUAAUAAUUGUUGCCAGCUACGGAUCAGCACCAGAAGAUUCUAGAUGAUGAGCAAAGCGUCAGCCUGAGGAAGUCUCCAGCCGCAGGCGAAAUGUAGCGAAAAAACAGGUAACGAAACCGUUUCUGUGUUUUAAAAAAGAACGAUAGCAUGGAAUUAGAAACAAGACACAGCAAGAACACACCUAAGAGCGUGAAGACCGAUUUGUGAUUAUUUCACUGAACAAUUCUUACUUACUGUACCUUUAAAGUUGAGGUGUGGAUUUUAUGAAGGUCAAUGUGAAAAAUAAAGGUUAAAAAAAAUUUGAAAAGUUACGAAACUUACAAAAAAUACUUCAUCAUUUAAAACUUCCAGUACUCUUUAUUUAUUGCUGAAAGAAUAUACAAUCAUAGUCAGAAAAAUGAGAUGUCGUUGGUGAACCUGUGUGACUUAUUUCUGAACAAGCCCACUGAAUUUACAUUAGCUAUAAGGUCUGAUGGGUUCAAGAGGAUCUUCGUUUUUGUGACGUUCUACUCUCUUCAGCUUGGUGUCAGCUUUACCCUCCAGCAGAGGCCCUUGGAAGACGUACAUAUGAAGGAAAUCACUUCCUCCCACAUGAACCUGCAGGGGGAGGAGAGAGUUACUGCACCUUUAAUAUUAAGCGUUUGUAAGAGUCAGAUAACCACAUGAUCUGUGCGUGCUUCAUGUGACUAUGACGUCAUAUAAAAUCAGUCGUCUUUACCUUGAUGAGGUAGUUAACACCUGCCACAAUCUGAACCCUGUAUUCCACUGCUUUGAACUCUAAAUACGUCUUAUUUGUGUUCUCCUCUACGUUGCUCUUCACCUAAAAUGCAGAACAGGACGUUUUUAUGUGCAAGAUUUAAAGAAUAAAGUGAACCUGGCACUCACCGCA